rnacentral:tRNA from 2 species
CCUUCGAUAGCUCAGUUGGAAGAGCGCGAGACUGUAAUUGGAUGCGUCAUCUUGAGGUCGCUGGUUCGAUCCCGGCUCGAAGGA